CGAGAACGACGCUGGCGGCAUGCCUAAUACAUGCAAGUCGAACGAGACCUUCGGGUCUAGUGGCGCACGGGUGCGUAACACGUGGGAAUUUGCCUCGGGGUAUGGAAUAACUCAGGGAAACUUGAGCUAAUACCAUAUAAUGUCUUCGGACCAAAGAUUUAUCGCCCUGAGAUAAGCCCGCGUAGGAUUAGCUAGUUGGUGAGGUAAAGGCUCACCAAGGCGACGAUCCUUAGCUGGUCUGAGAGGAUGAUCAGCCACACUGGGACUGAGACACGGCCCAGACUCCUACGGGAGGCAGCAGUGGGGGAAUAUUGGACAAUGGGCGAAAGCCUGGUCCAGCAAUGCCGCGUGAGUGAUGAAGGCCUUCGGGUUGUAAAGCUCUUUUACUCGGGACGAUAAUGACGGUACCGAGAGAAUAAGCCCCGGCUAACUCCGUG
rnacentral:rRNA from 1 species